rnacentral:tRNA from 1 species
AAAGAUAAAGUAUUAUGUACAUUUUAGUUACAUUAAAAAAGUCUAAAAUUUUUAGUAUCUUUA